GGAGNNNNNGAGCGUUGUUCGGAAUCACUGGGCGUAAAGGGCGUGUAGGCGGCCCGCUAAGUCUGAUGUGAAAGCCCGGGGCUCACCCCCGGAAGUGCAUUGGAAACUGGCGGACUCGAGUCCCGGAGAGGAGGGUGGAAUUCCUGGUGUAGCGGUGAAAUGCGUAGAUAUCAGGAGGAACACCGGUGGCGAAGGCGGCCCUCUGGACGGUGACUGACGCUGAGACGCGAAAGCGUGGGGAGCAAACAGGAUUAGAUACCCUGGUAGUCCACGCCGUAAACGAUGAGCACUAGGUGUCGCGGGUAUUGACCCCCGCGGUGCCGUAGCUAACGCAUUAAGUGCUCCGCCUGGGGACUACGGCCGCAAGGUUA
rnacentral:rRNA from 1 species